UUUUCUUUAAAUCUCCUCCCAAUUUUCUUCUUCCCCACAUAUUUUCUCAUCUCUUUCCAAUCUUCUUCUUUCGCACAUAUUUUCUUUUCUUUCUUUCGAUGAAUUAACCACUACUUAUCUUCUUCUUUUUCUUUCCAAUAAAGAACGAGAUCUCCCUCAUCAGGGACAGAUUGGAGAGACCAAUUUUGUGUAACUAGAUCCGCUACUCAUGUAGUUAGUCAGUAUAGGUACAUAUUCGACCUUUUUCAGCAUAAUCAGAUUAUCUGAGAGCCUUACAAAGAUGUGAUUGAUAAUUUGCCAAAUUUUUGUAAGAACGGUCAAGAUAUAUGGCUGACCAUCAGUCCUCUCAUAUGUUUCCAUAUUGGUGAAUGACAUCAUCCCGAUAGGGUGCUUAGACAAUUCGGUCUUAAACAAAAUAUCUCAUCAGUAUGCAAUACUAAGCCACUUCUACAUAACAUUGACUUGAGAGUUACAGAUUGGUCCGACAGGGUUACACAUUUAGUAGUGCGAUGACAAUCUCGCAGAAGAUUUAUGGCAAUAGGAGUUUCGAUUCAGCAAUUUGAUAUUGAUGCGACUCAAGAAUACAUCCAUUGGUAUAAUAAUAUUACGAGGUUCUAUAUCACUCGACCAGGAGCAGUCGUGGGUCAUCUGAGAUCGAAUAACACAAGACUUCGUGAUGUAGCAAAUGAUCCACAAUAAGACCUUGAUAUAUGUAAUAAUAAUGAGAGGUACAUGGAGGAGAUACAUAAUAUUUAUGAUCUACCUAUUGUACCUCCACCAGUUCAUAGGGGACGUGUUCGAGUGGAAGAAGCUGAACUCGAUGAAAUUUACCAUAAUGUGGAAGAAGUGCCUUCUACGACACAAACGCAGAGCCAAACUGGUUAUGGUAGUCCGAUGACGAUGAUGCCAACAUUUGAAGCAACAUAUUGUGAAUCUAAGGUCGAUACAGGAUAUUAUGAUACAGGGGUUGAUCCAUCAUCUUCAUACAUGGAUGUCGGUCCAUCUAAUUCUUACAUGCAUGGACAUGGACAUGGCUAUGGGAAACAUAACGAAUAUCUGUAUCAUGAAGCACCUGCAGAUGUAUCAGAUCGACAAGAGUACCAACAAGAACCAGAGAACCAAGAGGACCGAGAACAACAUAAAUUUCAGAGUCGACGUCGACAACCAACUCGAAAUCGAAGACGUCCGAAUUGAGGAACACAUUGAUUUUCUUUUAUCAAUCAAAUAAAUGUAAUUUGGUUAUUAUAAAUUAUUUUAAUUUAUAUUUAAUUUUUUAA